rnacentral:lncRNA from 1 species
ACAACUUCAUGUCUCCAAUGACAACUACAAAAUCUACACCUUGAACGUCAACGAUGUAUAAUGUUUCCAGACAGAAUUAUGGAAGAAGCAGGAAACGAGAUGUACAUAUAGCAUAAUUCUGCAUGAUUUUUCCUAAUACCAUUGUUCAGAUGGAAGCAUGAUUUUUCCUUCUACCAUUGUUCAGAUGUAACAAGAAUAUGCAUGCAUUUGUUUAUGAUUUCAUAAACAAGACUGCUAAAAUGCUCUAGAAGAAACAAGAGGAGAAGAACAGCAGCGGUUUUAUCUUCGAAACCGAAACAUGAUGCCACACUUUCAGAAGGACAGAGCAACACAGCUCCUCCUUGAGCAUGAUGAAAUUAUGAAAAAUCAUGGAGCACAAUC